AAAACUGUUACGUAAAAUGAGAGGGGUUUUUUUUAUUAUUAUUAUUUUCAUCUUAGCAGUUACAAUUUUUGGGUCAUUCUGAAAAAUCGAACACAUAAAAUAAGUCAUUUAGUUGUGAAAUAUAAAAUCCAAGGAAAGAGAAGAAUAAAAAUCUAUAGAAUAUAAAUUAACGUGUAAACAAUAUGCAAUAAAAAUGACAAAUGCGGUGAAAAGAUCAGCUGUAUUUAUUAUUAUUUUUUAUUAAGUAAGGAGAUGUUUUAAAGAGCACGUUCAGAUCACGUUCUCCACGUGCUCCAGGAAUAAACAGAAUCAGUCAUAAAUUUGUAUCUUACUAACGAGAGACUUGAUAUUUACAUCCUUAGUACUGAACCAGUGUGUAAAAGGAAAGAACGAGAUUAUUAUUAUAUAAGUGUGCUGUCUGAACGGUUCAAACCUGACCUCAUUUGCUGUGAAA